GUUGUAUAGUCAAGUAAUUAAGUGCAUGUGGUGGAUGCCUUGGCAGUCAGAGGCGAUGAAAGACGUGAUAGCCUGCGAAAAGCUCCGGGGAGGCGGCAAAUAUCCUUUGAUCCGGAGAUGUCUGAAUGGGGGAACCCACCUACUUUAAGGUAGGUAUUGCAACAUGAAUACAUAGUGUUGCAAGGCGAACGAGGGGAAGUGAAACAUCUCAGUACCCUUAGGAAAAGAAAUCAAUUGAGAUUCCCUCAGUAGCGGCGAGCGAACGGGGAUCAGCCCAUUAAGUUAUGUGUGUUUUAGUGGAACGCUCUGGGAAGUGCGAACGUAGAGGGUGAUAUUCCCGUACACGAAAGGGCACACAUAAUGAUGACGAGUAGGGCGAGGCACGUGAAACCUUGUCUGAAUAUGGGGGGACCAUCCUCCAAGGCUAAAUACUCCUGACUGACCGAUAGUGAACCAGUACCGUGAGGGAAAGGCGAAAAGAACCCCUGUGAGGGGAGUGAAAUAGAUCCUGAAACCGCAUGCAUACAAGCAGUGGGAGCACCUUCGUGGUGUGACUGCGUACCUUUUGUAUAAUGGGUCAGCGACUUAUAUUCAGUAGCAAGGUUAACCGUAUAGGGGAGCCGUAGAGAAAUCGAGUCUUAAUAGGGCGUUUAGUUGCUGGGUAUAGACCCGAAACCAGGCGAUCUAUCCAUGAGCAGGUUGAAGGUUGGGUAACACUAACUGGAGGACCGAACCCACUGUCGUUGAAAAGCCAGGGGAUGACUUGUGGAUAGGGGUGAAAGGCUAAUCAAGCCUGGUGAUAGCUGGUUCUCCCCGAAAGCUAUUUAGGUAGCGCCUCGGACGAAUACCAUAGGGGGUAGAGCACUGUUUCGGCUAGGGGGUCAUCCCGACUUACCAAACCGAUGCAAACUCCGAAUACCUAUGAGUACUAUCCGGGAGACAGACUGCGGGUGCUAACGUCCGUAGUCAAGAGGAAAACAAUCCAGACCGCCAGCUAAGGCCCCAAAAUCAUAGUUAAGUGGGAAACGAUGUGGGAAGGCAUAGACAGCUAGGAGGUUGGCUUANNNNNNNNNNNNNNNNNNNNNNNNGAAGCAGCCACCCUUUAAAGAAAGCGUAAUAGCUCACUAGUCGAGUCGGCCUGCGCGGAAGAUGUAACGGGGCUAAAACUAUGUGCCGAAGCUGCGGAUGUAUACUUUGUAUACGUGGUAGGGGAGCGUUCUGUAAGCCGAUGAAGGUGUGUUGAGAAGCNAUGCUGGAGGUAUCAGAAGUGCGAAUGCUGACGUGAGUAACGACAAAACGGGUGAAAAACCCGUUCGCCGAAAGACCAAGGGUUCCAGUCCAACGUUAAUCGGGGCUGGGUGAGUCGACCCCUAAGGCGAGGCCGAAAGGCGUAGUCGAUGGGAAAAUGGUUAAUAUUCCAUUACUUCUGUGUAAUGCGAUGAGAGGACGGAGAAGGCUAAAUCAGCCUGGCGUUGGUUGUCCAGGUGAAAGGAUGUAGGCAUGUAUCUUAGGCAAAUCCGGGGUACUCUAUGCUGAGAUCUGAUAGCAAGCUGUACUUGUACAGCGAAGUGGUUGAUGCCAUGCUUCCAGGAAAAGUCUCUAAGCUUCAGUUACACAGGAAUCGUACCCGAAACCGACACAGGUGGUCAGGUCGAGUAGACCAAGGCGCUUGAGAGAACUCUGCUGAAGGAACUAGGCAAAAUGGUACCGUAACUUCGGGAGAAGGUACGCUGUUGUUGGUGAUGGAACUCGCUUCCUGAGCUGACGACAGCCGCAGAAACCAGGCCGCUGCAACUGUUUAUUAAAAACAUAGCACUCUGCAAACACGAAAGUGGACGUAUAGGGUGUGAUGCCUGCCCGGUGCUGGAAGGUUAAUUGAUGGGGUUAGCGUAAGCGAAGCUCUUGAUCGAAGCCCCAGUAAACGGCGGCCGUAACUAUAACGGUCCUAAGGUAGCGAAAUUCCUUGUCGGGUAAGUUCCGACCUGCACGAAUGGCAUAAUGAUGGCGGCGCUGUCUCCAGCAGAGGCUCAGUGAAAUCGAAAUCGCUGUGAAGAUGCAGUGUACCCGCGGCUAGACGGAAAGACCCCGUGAACCUUUACUGCAGCUUGACACUGAACUUUGACCUUACUUGUGUAGGAUAGGUGGGAGGCUUUGAAGCUGGAACGCUAGUUCCAGUGGAGCCGUCCUUGAAAUACCACCCUGGUAAUGUUGAGGUUCUAACUCUGUCCCGUGAUCCGGGACGAGGACCGUGUCUGGUGGGUAGUUUGACUGGGGCGGUCUCCUCCUAAAGAGUAACGGAGGAGUACGAAGGUGCGCUCAGCGUGGUCGGAAAUCACGCGUAGAGUAUAAAGGCAAAAGCGCGCUUAACUGCGAGACCCACAAGUCGAGCAGGUACGAAAGUAGGUCUUAGUGAUCCGGUGGUUCUGUAUGGAAGGGCCAUCGCUCAACGGAUAAAAGGUACUCUGGGGAUAACAGGCUGAUACCGCCCAAGAGUUCAUAUCGACGGCGGUGUUUGGCACCUCGAUGUCGGCUCAUCUCAUCCUGGGGCUGAAGCAGGUCCCAAGGGUAUGGCUGUUCGCCAUUUAAAGAGGUACGCGAGCUGGGUUUAGAACGUCGUGAGACAGUUCGGUCCCUAUCUACCGUGGGCGCUGGAAAUUUGAGAGGAUCUGCUCCUAGUACGAGAGGACCAGAGUGGACGAACCUCUGGUGUACCGGUUGUGACGCCAGUCGCAUCGCCGGGUAGCUAUGUUCGGAAGGGAUAACCGCUGAAAGCAUCUAAGCGGGAAGCCUACCUCAAGAUAAGAUUUCCCUAGGACUUUAUGUCCUCUAAAGAGCCGUUCGAGACUAGGACGUUGAUAGGUUGGAUGUGGAAGCAUAGUGAUAUGUGAAGCUGACCAAUACUAAUUGCUCGUGAGGCUUGACUAUACAACACCCAAGCAGUUG
rnacentral:rRNA from 1 species